rnacentral:lncRNA from 10 species
GUAUGUUUGCUGAGAUCUGCUUCAAUGUAGUGAAAAUGGUUAUUCUUCUUGCUUUUUUUUUUUUUUUUCUCUUUUUUUCAGUAAAUGUGCUGUUUUUCGGUUUUGUUUCCUGUAUGAGCUGUAACAUUCUUUGUAAAGCUCUGUGGUUUUGUUUUUGAAGGUAUGAAAAUAGAACCAACCCAUUUGUAGAGUUAAACAACUAUCAGGAGCGUAUGGCGUUAUGUAGUUUAUGACACUCACUGAAUGUUUUAGAGCUUUACUCUUGAGCCGAUGAGAUCGCUAAGCCCACCAUGAAAGAAGUAAAGGGAGGACAUACCGCUUUAAAGAACUUGUAACACCACACGGGUCUGUGGCUUCAUUCCCGAAGUCAGUAAGACCAAUGAACCCACCAGCACAGUGUUUUUGGUGAUGGUUGUUUUUAGCAACCUUAACUGUAAAAAUUUCUCGUUUAAAAUCAUGAAUUACGUGUUAAGGUUUCAACGUAUGAAUUUGUGGAGGGGGCUGGGCACAAUUCACUGCAUAGCAAAUAACUGUACUUUGAGAAUAACGUAUAUUUAAAGUUUAAAUUGUGAAUUUUAAAAAUUCAAUUUGAUCUUUUCCAAACAUUUUUAAAGAACGAUUUGACAGUCUUAGGUCCUCUAAUAAAAAUCACUUGCAGUGAAUUUUUAAAAAAUGGACAAGUAAUAGUUGUGUAGACUUUUGCAAUGUUAUGUUUUGAUACAUGCUUACAUGGUAGUGAAACUGGGCAAGUUCCCUUGUUCCUCUCGGGAUGUGUGAUGGGGCUGAUGGCUCACUUUAGUGCCCUGCUGCUCCAACUUUUAGGAGAGAAUACAGACAGGUAGGCUGUGGGGCUCCAACCCUUUUGCAGUGUCUAGGGCUGAAUGUUUACAACUCCUGAAGCUCCACUGGGCAUGUGUUAGAGUGCUUUUUUAGUUUAGCUAUCCAUAGGUGGCUUGUGUUAACCAGUUCAAUCAGACCCCUACCUUAUCGCAAGGACAGAGGGCUUUCUGUAUCCUGGGGUUCCUGCCUUGGUGUACCAGAAGAAUCGGAUCACAUGUGGGCUUGGAGAAUGAGUGCAAGGUAAGUCUGGCAACCUGGGCUCUCCUUCAACUGCCCCCGUCAAACUGCGUUGUUCUGCCGGUGGAUGGCCUGCCUGCAUGCCGGUGCCUGCUGGUGCAUCCCAUUCCUCUCAACUUCCAGCCGCUCGUGUGUUCCUCCACUGAUGUACUCCUCUCGAUAUGCAGCCACCUGUGUGUCUGCCUGCUAGCGUCUCAGGGUUUUACAGGCACAGGGUAGGGGCGUGGCAGGCCAGGGUGGUCUUGAGAAGUGCAACAUUGGGGCAGGAAAACAAAAAUGCCUGUCCUCAACUAGGUCCGUGGGCACAGGCCCAGGGUUGGAGCCCUAGCCAGGGACCACGCCCUUCCCCCCCCCGCCAUGUUAUUUAAAGAGAGCACACCCUUCCAUAUCAGUGGAAUGGCUAAAACAAGCUAAUUCCCAUACGCAUUACCUCAUCUAUUUUUUUUGUGAUGAGAAUGUCAGAGUAGGCGGUUAGACGUGAGCAGGGCAUGCACGGGCCCCCAAGAAUGUUGGACAUUUGUCAAGCCACAGUCACAAUUAUAAAUCUGUCCCUCUGAAAUAAUGAGCAAGACAAGGAAGGGACCCCAGAGCUGUCUGGUUCUCAUUGGGACCGGGAUUGAAGGGCAUAAAACUAUCCCUCUAGGGUAAUAAGUGGCCAUGGCUGGCGCUGGGAAUAACAGGAGUCUUGCAACAGACAGAAGACACCUGGAGUUAGCAAGGCAGUCCCAGACAAGGUUUUGAGCAUGUGCAGUAAUAGAAAGGUGUGAAAUUUACCCGGUGUAUGACUUUCCUCUAGGGGCGCUCGACCAGUAAGGGAGAAUUGCAUCUAAUGGGCAUGCGCACAACUUCAGUAACCAUCCAGCGCCUACUGGGAGGGCUACUGGGCAUGCAAUACUUGAGGGCCAGCCCGGGAGGUGAAGAACAAAGAGUGGAGACAGCCUG